CUUUUACUCCCUCCAUCCGGAAAUACUUGCCAUUGAAAUGGAUGUAUCUAGAUGUAUUUUAGUUCUAGACACAUCCAUUUUGAUGACAAGUAAUUCCGGACGGAGGGAGUACUUG
rnacentral:pre_miRNA from 1 species